UAUAUUUUGGUGUAUGAUGCACAAAAGCUUUUGAUGCUUUUAGGAAUAGUUUAAAUCUAUUAAAUAUAA
rnacentral:tRNA from 1 species